AGGACGAACGCUGGCGGCGUGCUUAACACAUGCAAGUCGAGCGGAAAGGCCCUUCGGGGUACUCGAGCGGCGAACGGGUGAGUAACACGUGAGUAACCUGCCCCUAGCUCUGGGAUAGCUCCGGGAAACCGGGAUUAAAUACCAGAUACGACCACUUUAGACAUCUGUCGUGGUGGAAAGGAUUCCGGCUAGGGAUGGGCUCGCGGCCUAUCAGCUUGUUGGUGGGUAACGCUACCAAGGCGACGACGGUAGCC
rnacentral:rRNA from 1 species